rnacentral:rRNA from 1 species
AUUGAACGCUGGCGGCAGGCCUAACACAUGCAAGUCGAAUGGAAACAGGAAACAGUUUGCUGUUUCGCUGACGAGUGGCGGACGGGUGAGUAAUGUCUGUGAAACUGCCUGAUGGAGGGGGAUAACUACUGGAAACGGUAGCUAAUACCGCAUAACGUCGCAAGACCAAGGAGGGAGACCUAAGGGCCGCUUGCCAUCAGAUGUGCCCAGAUGGGAUUAGCUAGUAGGUAGGGGAACGGCUUACCUAGGCGACGAUCCCUAGUCGGUCUGAGAGGGUGAACCGCCACACUGGAACCGAGACACGGUCCAGACCCCUACGGGAGGCAGCAGUAGGGAAUCUUCCCCAAUGGGCGGAAGCCUGACGGAGCAACGCCGCGUGAUUGAAGAAGGUCUUCGGGUUUUAAAACUCUUUUAUGAGGGAAGAACGGAUGUGAAAUUAACUCUGUGCUCAUUGACGUUACCCGCACAAGAAGCCCCGGCUAACUCCGUG